rnacentral:RNase_P_RNA from 15 species
GUUGGCCGGAAGAAGACGGUUGGGAGAGACACAAAGGCCUGAAACAUGGCCUACACAACUCCCGGGAAGGUCUGAGAGUAGGCCUUUGAUGAGAUCUAGGAGAUCUUCCAUUAUCCUUAUAGAGGAGAGGCUGUAGAAGAAGACGUUUCCCCUGCGAGGGUUUGGAAACGGCCUCGGCCAGCAAUUCUCGUGUAAAUGCUGAGUGCGAUCGUCAUACCAACACAAUUCAGACUAGUCUUCGGCCAAC